CAUUACUGAAUCAGUUAGGGUUGUAGCUGACUCUGUCCUCCGAGUCUGUGCUCUCUCUAUUCUUCUACUUUUCCCCCUGUGCCCCUUUUGUAUGCUAUGAUAUCCAUCGUGUGUGAUUUCUUUCUCAUUACCGGUUCAAGGGUUUGCUGGAUUUACUCCGGCUGCUCUUGCCCUUCAGAUGCCUAUGUCUUUAUACACUCUUUACAAGUCUACAAUGUCUUUUGAGGUUCUAUUGACCUAUAAACUUAAUACAACUUUCAACAACGGAUCUCUUGGCUCUCGCAUCCAUGAAGAACGAAGCAAACUGCCAUAAGCAAUGUUAAUUGUACGUAUUUCAGAAGGGCUUGAGUGUUGGGUUUCAUUUAAUUUUCCAACCAUUGUGGGGUUUGGGAAUGGGUUUAAGGGGUUUAUUGGGGGAGGCUGGUUGAAACAUAAAAAUUAAGUGUCCUUAAAAGCCUUUGGGGGUUACUUGGUCCCCUUUCCUUGGUGUGAUAAUUAUAUACGCUUUUGAAAUGAUCAGCAUUGUAUCAGCUUUAACCGUCCAUUGACUUGGA
rnacentral:misc_RNA from 1 species